rnacentral:rRNA from 1 species
CGUAGUUGGAUUUCUGGUGGGGACGUUUGGCCGGCCGUAACGGUUUGCGCUGAAAUGUUCUUCGCCAUCCUUGACGAAUACUGGUUCGCCAUUAAGUUGUGUGGGCUUGGAGUCGUCAUCGUUUACUGUGAAAAAAUUAGAGUGUUCAAAGCAGGCUUAUGCCGUUGAAUACAUUAGCAUGGAAUAAUAAGAUAGGACCCUGGUACUAUUUUGUUGGUUUGCGUACCUAGGUAAUGA